rnacentral:rRNA from 1 species
GGGGGGGGGGGGGGGGGGGGGGGGGGGGGGGGGGGGGGGCGGGGGGGGCGGGGGUGGGGGGGGGGGUCGAGUGGCGAGGGGGGGAGUAACACGUGGGUAACCUGCCCUUGCCGUUGGGAUAACGGGAGGGGCCUGGGGCUACUACCGGAUAGGAGCUCCUGCUGCGUGUUGGGGUUGGUAACGUUUCGGCGGGUGGGGCUGGACUCGCGGCUUAUCAGCUUGUGGGUGGGGUAGUGGCUUACCAAGGCUUUGACGGGUAGCCGGCCUGAGAGGGUGACCGGCCACAUUGGGACGGAGAUACGGCCCAGACUCCUACGGGAGGCAGCAGUGGGGAAUAUUGCACAAUGGGCGGAAGCCUGAUGCAGCAACGCCGCGUGCGGGAUGACGGCCUUCGGGUUGUAAGCCGCUUUCGCCUGUGACGAAGCGUGAGUGACGGUAAUGGGUAAAGAAGCACCGGCUAACUACGUG